rnacentral:rRNA from 1 species
GCUUGCACCUCUGGCGUCGAGCGGCGGACGGGUGAGUAAUGCUUGGGAAUAUGCCUUAUGGUGGGGGACAACAGUUGGAAACGACUGCUAAUACCGCAUGAUGUCUACGGACCAAAGUGGGGGACCUUCGGGCCUCACGCCAUAAGAUUAGCCCAAGUGGGAUUAGCUAGUUGGUGAGGUAAUGGCUCACCAAGGCGACGAUCCCUAGCUGGUUUGAGAGGAUGAUCAGCCACACUGGGACUGAGACACGGCCCAGACUCCUACGGGAGGCAGCAGUGGGGAAUAUUGCACAAUGGGCGCAAGCCUGAUGCAGCCAUGCCGCGUGUGUGAAGAAGGCCUUCGGGUUGUAAAGCACUUUCAGUAAGGAGGAAAGGUUAAGUGUUAAUAGCGCUUAGCUGUGACGUUACUUACA